rnacentral:rRNA from 1 species
CCUACGGGCGGCAGCAGUGGGGAAUAUUGGACAAUGGGCGAAAGCCUGAUCCAGCCAUGCCGCGUGUGUGAAGAAGGCCUUCGGGUUGUAAAGCACUUUCAGUGGGGAAGAAAGCCUUGGGGCUAAUACCCUCGAGGAAGGACAUCACCCACAGAAGAAGCACCGGCUAACUCCGUGCCAGCAGCCGCGGUAAUACGGAGGGUGCGAGCGUUAAUCGGAAUUACUGGGCGUAAAGCGCGCGUAGGCGGUCUGAUAAGCCGGUUGUGAAAGCCCCGGGCUCAACCUGGGAACGGCAUCCGGAACUGUCAGGCUAGAGUGCAGGAGAGGAAGGUAGAAUUCCCGGUGUAGCGGUGAAAUGCGUAGAGAUCGGGAGGAAUACCAGUGGCGAAGGCGGCCUUCUGGACUGACACUGACGCUGAGGUGCGAAAGCGUGGGUAGCAAACAGGAUUAGAUACCCUAGAGUC